rnacentral:rRNA from 1 species
UACGAAGGGGGCUAGCGUUGUUCGGAAUUACUGGGCGUAAAGGGCGCGUAGGCGGUGUGUCAAGUCAGGCGUGAAAGCCCCGGGCUCAACCUGGGAACCGCGCUUGAGACUGGCACGCUCGAGUUCGGGAGAGGAUGGUGGAAUUCCCAGUGUAGAGGUGAAAUUCGUAGAUAUUGGGAAGAACACCGCUGGCGAAGGCAGCCAUCUGGACCGACACUGACGCUGAGGCGCGAAAGCGUGGGGAGCAAACAGG